rnacentral:rRNA from 1 species
CCUACGGGAGGCAGCAGUGAGGAAUAUUGGUCAAUGGACGAGAGUCUGAACCAGCCAAGUAGCGUGAAGGAUGACUGUCCUAUGGGUUGUAAACUUCUUUUAUAAAGGAAUAAAACGAGGCACGUGUGCCUGUUUGCAUGUACUUUAUGAAUAAGGAUCGGCUAACUCCGUGCCAGCAGCCGCGGUAAUAUGGAGGAUCCGAGCGUUAUCCGGAUUUAUUGGGUUUAAAGGGGGCGUAGAUGGGUUGUUAAGUCAGUUGUGAAAGUUUGCGGCUCAACCGUAAAAUUGCAAUUGAUACUGGUAGGCUUGAGUACGAUUGAGGUAAGCGGAAUUCGUGGUGUAGCGGUGAAAUGCUUAGAUAUCACGAAGAACCCCGAUUGCGAAGGCAGCUUACUAAACUGUGACUGACAUUGAUGCUCGAAAGUGUGGGUAUCGAACAGGAUUAGAUACCCUGGUAGUC